UUACACAUGCAGUCGAACGAUGACGACAGGGCUUGCCUUGUCUGAUUAGUGGCGAACGGGUGAGUAACACGUGAGUAACCUGCCCAUCAGAGGGGGAUAACAUUCGGAAACGGAUGCUAAAACCGCAUAGGUCUUCGAACCGCAUGGUUUGAAGAGGAAAAGAGGCGCAAGCUUCUGCUGAUGGAUGGACCCGCGGUGCAUUAGCUAGUUGGUGAGGUAACGGCUCACCAAGGCCGUGAUGCAUAGCCGACCUGAGAGGGUGAUCGGCCACAUUGGGACUGAGACACGGCCCAAACUCCUACGGGAGGCAGCAGUAGGGAAUCUUCCGCAAUGGACGCAAGUCUGACGGAGCAACGCCGCGUGAGUGAAGAAGGUUUUCGGAUCGUAAAACUCUGUUGUUAGAGAAGAACAAGUGCUAGAGUAACUGUUAGCACCUUGACGGUAUCUAACCAGAAAGCCACGGCUAACUACGUGCCAGCAGCCGCGGUAAU
rnacentral:rRNA from 1 species